rnacentral:rRNA from 1 species
GACGAACGCUGGCGGCGUGCUUAACACAUGCAAGUCGAACGGAAAGGCCCUGCUUUUGUGGGGUGCUCGAGUGGCGAACGGGUGAGUAACACGUGAGUAACCUGCCCUUGACUUUGGGAUAACUUCAGGAAACUGGGGCUAAUACCGGAUAGGAGCUCCUGCUGCAUGGUGGGGGUUGGAAAGUUUCGGCGGUUGGGGAUGGACUCGCGGCUUAUCAGCUUGUUGGUGGGGUAGUGGCUUACCAAGGCUUUGACGGGUAGCCGGCCUGAGAGGGUGACCGGCCACAAUGGGACUGAGGUACGGCCCAGACUCCUACGGGAGGCAAAAGGGGGGAAUAUUGCACAAUGGGCGGAAGCCUGAUGCGGCAACGCCGCGUGCGGGAAGACGGCCUUUGGGGUGUAAACCGCUUUCGGCUGUGACGAAGCGUGAGUGACGGUAAUGGGUAAAGAAGCACCGGCUAACUACGUG